rnacentral:lncRNA from 1 species
AUGUGUGAAGGGAUUUUUAUUUUGUCUUCCAGGUCAGCGGUUCUCAAACUUCAUUUACCCAGGGAGCUUAUUAGAACUGCAGAUGCCUGAGCUACACCCAGGAGGUUGUGAUUCAGCCAAAUCUGAACCAAGGCCCAGGAAUUCAUGUUACUACUUCCUGCUUCCACACUUCCACACCCCAGGCAGACAACACGGCAUAUGCAGAUCACGUUCAUAACUGAACAGCACCAUUCACUAGUUCUGCGAACAUGAGCAAGUUCU